rnacentral:rRNA from 1 species
UGGGGGAAGUUUUCCGCAAUGGGCGAAAGCCUGACGGAGCAAUGCCGCGUGGAGGUGGAAGGCCUACGGGUCGUCAACUUCUUUUCUCGGAGAAGAAACAAUGACGGUAUCUGAGGAAUAAGCAUCGGCUAACUCUGUGCAG